UGAAAAGAUAAAAAAGAAAAAUGAAACGAAAAAGAUAAAAAGAAAUAAGAAAAAAAGGGAAAAUGAUACAAAUAAAGAGAAAAAAGAGAAAAGAAAAAAAAUGAACAAAAAAGAGAAAAAAGAGAAAAGUAAAAAGAAAAAAGAUAAAAAAAAAGAAAAGAAAAAAAGAGAAAAUGGAAAUAAAAAAAGAAAGAAAAAUAUGAAAAAAAAAGAAAAAGAAAAAGAAAAAAAAAAUAAGAAAAAAAGUAAAAAAAAAAACAAAAGGAAAAAUCGAAUAAUGACAAGAAAGGUAAAGAGAAAAGAAGAAAACAGCCAAGUCAAAAAGUAAAGAAUAACUCGAAGGAAGGAGUGGAUGGCAAGAAAUACAGGGAAAGCAAUGCAUAGCACAGCCAAAGCAAAGCAAGGCAAAAUAGCAGCCAAAGCCACGAGAAUCAAGAGUCAGUGAAGAGCAGGAAAGGUAAGUUUCCCUUAAAGCAAGGGGGGAUGGUAGUGGAUGGGGGCAAAAGAGAGGGGAGGGGAGGGGGAGGGAAGUGAAGGAGUGGGGGGAGAGGGGGAGGAGCAGUGGGGAAAGCGGUGGGGCUAGAGGGGGGUGAGGGGUGCAAUUGAGGGGGAGGGAGGAAGGGUGGAGAGGGGGGAGAAGUGAGGGGGGUGAGUAAGUGGGGGCGUGGGUGGAUGGGGGGGGAGAGGAGAGAGGGUAGGAAGGAAAAAAUUGGAGGUAGGGUGAGGGAAGGGGGAGGGUUGAAGGGAAAAUAAUGAAACAGAGGAAAAAAGAGAAUAACAAGUAAAAAGCAAUGCAUGUAAAUACAGAGCAAGCAAGUAGGAAAGCUAGGCAUAGCACAGCAAAAGAGAGCAAAGCAAAAGAAGGCAAAGAAUGACAAAAAGCAACCUUGCAGGAAUGGAGGAAUCUGGCCAGAGCUGUGCCCCUGCUUGCCACAGGAGCUGCGCGGGAGGAGAAGAAUGUGGGCCAAAAGGAAUGGAGGAAUCUGGCCAGAGCUGUGCCCCUGCUUGCCACAGGAGCUGCGCGGGAGGAGAAGAAUGUGGGCCAAAAGGUAAGAGGAGCUCCUUUGGGUUCUGGGCUUGAAGCAAAGCUGAGAAGCCAUGCCCGGGAGGAGGUGUGGGUAGCUACAGGCCACCUUGCUAUCUCCCCAAGAGAUGAGGUGUGUGGGCUAGGCACCGGGCAGGAGUGCUGGCCAGAAGCAAGCAUCUCUGUGGAGGAAGGGCAAAGGGCGGAGGAGGUUCAAGGUAGCUACCGGGCAUGGCCUUGCUCAGCAAGGGGAGGAAAAGCCUGGAAGGGCACGAGAAGGGGACAGAGAAGGGCAGGCAGUAGGCGUGAAGCUGUGAGCAGAGUAGAGAGCAACUUGGCAGAGCAGCAAGCAGACGUAGGCAAGUGCUGAGGUUUGGCGUGAGUAGCAGCAAAAGCCCAUAGCAUCAGAAGCAGGAAGUGAGGAGAAGGUAAGUGAAGGGCAGGCAAGGUAAUGGGAGGCAGAGGCAAGGGGAAAGGGAGGGUAAGGGAGAAAGAGGGAUGGGGAGGGGAGGGGAUGGGUGAAGAGCAGAGCGGAGGGAAGGGCUGAGGGGAGGGCUGAAGGGCAAACCAAUGAUGAAAAAAGAAAAGAAAAAAUAAGACACAAAAAAUAUGAAAUAAGAGAAAAAAAGAAAAGAAAAAUAAGAAAAAGAGAAAAAAAGAGAAAAAAAAAAAAGAAAAAAAGGAAAAGAAAAAAAGGACAAAAAAGAAAAAAAAAGAAAAGAAAAAAUGAACAAAAAGAGAAAAAAGAGAAAAGAAAAAAAUGACAAAGAGAAAAAAGAGAAAGAAAAAAUGAACAAAAAAGAGAAAAAAGAGAAAAGAAAAAUGAACAAAAAAGAGAAAAAAGAGAAAAGCUAAAAAAAGAAAAAAGAUAAAGAAAAAAGAAAAAGAGAAAAUAGAAAUAAAAAAGAGGACAGAAAAAUAUGAAAAAAAGAAAAAAGAAAAAAGAAAAGAAAAAAAAUAGA
rnacentral:lncRNA from 7 species